UACGGGGGGUGCGAGCGUUGUCCGGAUUCAUUGGGCGUAAAGAGCUCGUAGGCGGCCACUCAAGUCGAAUGUGAAACCUCGAGGCUUAACCUCGAGCCUGCAUUCGAUACUGGGCGGCUAGAGUCUGGUAGGGGGAUCUGGAAUUCCUGGUGUAGCGGUGGAAUGCGCAGAUAUCAGGAGGAACACCGGUGGCGAAGGCGGGAUCCUGGGCCAGUACUGACGCUGAGGGGCGAAAGCGUGGGGAGCAAACAGG
rnacentral:rRNA from 1 species